rnacentral:rRNA from 1 species
GAUGAACGCUGGCGGCGUGCCUAAUACAUGCAAGUCGAGCGAAUGGAUUAAGAGCUUGCUCUUAUGAAGUCAGCGGCGGACGGGUGAGUAACACGUGGGUAACCUGCCCAUAAGACUGGGAUAACUCCGGGAAACCGGGGCUAAUACCGGAUAACAUUUUGAACCGCAUGGUUCGAAAUUGAAUGGCGGCUUCGGCUGUCACUUAUGGAUGGACCCGCGUCGCAUUAGCUAGUUGGUGAGGUAACGGCUCACCAAGGCAACGAUGCGUAGCCGACCUGAGAGGGUGAUCGGCCACACUGGGACUGAGACACGGCCCAGACUCCUACGGGAGGCAGCAGUAGGGUAUCUUCCGCAAUGGACGAAAGUCUGACGGAGCAACGCCGCGUGAGUGAUGAAGGCUUUCGGGUCGUAAAACUCUGUUGUUAGGGAAGAACAAGUGCUAGUUGAAUAAGCUGGCACCUUGACGGUACCUAACCAGAAAGCCACGGCUAACUACGUGCCAGCCGCCGCCGUAA